rnacentral:sRNA from 1 species
AUCGAUUGCCCAUCCUGGGCGUUUCCUCCCUGACAACUGGCCGCGCCGCAACGCGCGGCUUUUUUUGCCCUAU